rnacentral:rRNA from 1 species
AGUGAACGCUGGCGGUAGGCCUAACACAUGCAAGUCGAACGGCAGCACAGUAAGAGCUUGCUCUUACGGGUGGCGAGUGGCGGACGGGUGAGGAAUACAUCGGAAUCUACUUUUUCGUGGGGGAUAACGUAAGGAAACUUACGCUAAUACCGCAUACGACCUACGGGUGAAAGCAGGGGAUCUUCGGACCUUGCGCGAUUGAAUGAGCCGAUGUCGGAUUAGCUAGUUGGCGGGGUAAAGGCCCACCAAGGCGACGAUCCGUAGCUGGUCUGAGAGGAUGAUCAGCCACACUGGAACUGAGACACGGUCCAGACUCCUACGGGAGGCAGCAGUGGGGAAUAUUGGACAAAGGGCGCAAGCCUGAUCCAGCCAUACCGCGUGGGUGAAGAAGGCCUUCGGGUUGUAAAGCCCUUUUGUUGGGAAAGAAAAGCAGCAGGUUAAUACCCCGCUGUUCUGACGGUACCCAAAGAAUAAGCACCGGCUAACUUCGUG